AUGGCGGCGAAAGGAUGCUACGGGGUAGCAGGCGGCGCCGCAUAUCUCCCGGCGGCGCAAGAGGCGGGCCUCGCGAGGCAGUACAGCGCGAUGGAUAUCAGCGGUGGCGAGACGGGGGAGGAGACGGAGAUCUCAUGCUUGACCUCGCGGUUCGCGUCGCUGUCCGAUCGGGAGGAGCGGCUGGCCGAGAUCGCUGCUGGCCUGCGCCGGAUCAAGGAGAAGCGCGGGUCGAGGCCCCCCACCUACAUCGAGCUGGCCGCGGCCGUCCUCUUGCAAGACAGCGUUGCCGCCGCCCUCGAAGGCCGCCCCACCGUCCUCGACGUGCAGUGGUUGUUGGAAUAA
rnacentral:rRNA from 1 species